CCCACUUCCUCAACGCUAUUUCCUGGGAGGAGUCGUAGCUCAAGUCCCGGAGCCAAGACAUUCCCAGACCCAUGGCUUACGAGUACUCGGCUUGGGGGCGGCUGGUUCCUGAGCGCGUGCCAGGAUCGUUCCACCACGCGUAAUGGACCCGGGACUACACCAAGCCUGGGACGACCUCUAAGGCUGUCCGCGGCGGGACUUAUACGUCGGCUCGUUGGUCUAGGGGUAUGAUUCUCGCUUCGGGUGCGAGAGGUCCCGGGUUCAAAUCCCGGACGAGCCCUUCUUUGCGUUUUGCUGAAACGGGAGUGUCUUCGGGGUGUGUGUUACCUAACCAGCGCUGUGGACGGCUUAACUGGAAGUCAUUAGUGUGCAGUAAGAUCUUUUGUGGCACCGGGGUAGCAAAAAGAAUCUUGGUCCCCAGACUCGCUUGGCAUGUGAGGAAGAGAGGAGGCACGCCCAGACUUGUGCAGGACGCUUUCUGUUUCCUGACUUCUUGCUUGGUGCCUCGACUCGGCCACCACAACCUGGUUUCGGUUUGAUUGACACCCAUCAACCUAUAGUUGUGGAUGACAGGUGGUAGAAUGACCCAGGUCGAAUCUAUUCGGGUGUGUUGGAGAGAGCCCAGGAACUGUCAGAACUUGGUUCUCUGGAGCCCCGGAGGCAUUCUGUCUCUUUCGGUCACUCCAUCUGACGAUUGGUGCGUGAAAUACACAUACAAUUUCUCCGUGGUGGGAAAAAAGAACCCCUAGGAAGUCUACUGUCAGCAUGCCCAGUGUAGAGUCCCAGAUCAAGGAUUUGGCAAUAUCGCUGUAUGGCUUAUUCCUCGUUAGUAUAGUGAGGAUGAAUUUAAUUCCUGUAUACGUGCGCCCACAUCCCGCCCGCUGGUGCCUCGGAGAAAAGCACUAACAAAUCUUAAAGGUGGGGCCUCAAGGGAAAACUCCCCCGCUUAUUGCUGACAGUGGAUCUGUUCAAGAGACCCCUCAAAGCGGGUAAUCGGGCAGGCCUCGUGGCGCAACGGUAGCGCGUCUGACUCCAGAUCAGAAGGUUGCGUGUUCAAAUCACGUCGGGGUCAAGCCAGCCGCUGUUUUCCCUAAACAGGCUUACGAUGACAUUUUUCGGGAUAGCAGAAAUAGCCUUCUCCGUCAAAGGAUACGAGGGGGAUGAGACAAAGAUGUACAUUAUUCUAAAGUUGGCUACAACAAAAAGCCUAGACUUUCAA